ACUCAAAGGAAUUGACGGGGGCCCGCACAAGCGGUGGAGCAUGUGGUUUAAUUCGAUGCAACGCGCAGAACCUUACCAGCUCUUGACAUGCUAGGUUUCGGAUCCGAGAGAUUGGAUCCCUCAGUUCGGCUGGGCCUAGUACAGGUGCUGCAUGGCUGUCGUCAGCUCGUGUCGUGAGAUGUUGGGUUAAGUCCCGCAACGAGCGCAACCCUCAUCUUCAGUUGCCAUCAGGUAAAGCUGGGCACUCUGAAGAAACUGCCGGUGACAAGCCGGAGGAAGGUGGGGAUGACGUCAAGUCCUCAUGGCCUUUAUGGGCUGGGCCACACACGUGCUACAAUGGCGGUGACAAUGGGAUGCGAAGGGGCGACCCCCAGCGAAUCUCCAAAAGCCGUCUCAGUUCGGAUUGCACUCUGCAACUCGAGUGCAUGAAGUCGGAAUCGCUAGUAAUCGUGGAUCAGCAUGCCACGGUGAAUACGUUCCCGGGCCUUGUACACACCGCCCGU
rnacentral:rRNA from 1 species